rnacentral:rRNA from 1 species
CUACAGGCUUAACACAUGCAAGUCGAGGGGCAGCAUGGUCUUAGCUUGCUAAGGCCGAUGGCGACCGGCGCACGGGUGAGUAACACGUAUCCAACCUGCCGUCUACUCUUGGACAGCCUUCUGAAAGGAAGAUUAAUACAAGAUGGCAUCAUGAGUCCGCAUGUUCACAUGAUUAAAGGUAUUCCGGUAGACGAUGGGGAUGCGUUCCAUUAGAUAGUAGGCGGGGUAACGGCCCACCUAGUCUUCGAUGGAUAGGGGUUCUGAGAGGAAGGUCCCCCGCAUUGGAACUGAGACACGGUCCAAACUCCUACGGGAGGCAGCAGUGAGGAAUAUUGGUCAAUGGGCGAGAGCCUGAACCAGCCAAGUAGCGUGAAGGAUGACUGCCCUAUGGGUUGUAAACUUCUUUUAUAAAGGAAUAAAGUCGGGUAUGGAUACCCGUUUGCAUGUACUUUAUGAAUAAGGAUCGGCUAACUCCGUGCCAGCAGCCGCGGUAAUACGGAGGAUCCGAGCGUUAUCCGGAUUUAUUGGGUUUAAAGGGAGCGUAGAUGGAUGUUUAAGUCAGUUGUGAAAGUUUGCGGCUCAACCGUAAAAUUGCAGUUGAUACUGGAUAUCUUGAGUGCAGUUGAGGCAGGCGGAAUUCGUGGUGUAGCGGUGAAAUGCUUAGAUAUCACGAAGAACUCCGAUUGCGAAGGCAGCCUGCUAAGCUGCAACUGACAUUGAGGCUCGAAAGUGUGGGUAUCAAACAGGAUUAGAUACCCUGGUAGUCCACACGGUAAACGAUGAAUACUCGCUGUUUGCGAUAUACUGCAAGCGGCCAAGCGAAAGCGUUAAGUAUUCCACCUGGGGAGUACGCCGGCAACGGUGAAACUCAAAGGAAUUGACGGGGGCCCGCACAAGCGGAGGAACAUGUGGUUUAAUUCGAUGAUACGCGAGGAACCUUACCCGGGCUUAAAUUGCAGAUGAAUUACGGUGAAAGCCGUAAGCCGCAAGGCAUCUGUGAAGGUGCUGCAUGGUUGUCGUCAGCUCGUGCCGUGAGGUGUCGGCUUAAGUGCCAUAACGAGCGCAACCCUUGUUGUCAGUUACUAACAGGUUCCGCUGAGGACUCUGACAAGACUGCCAUCGUAAGAUGUGAGGAAGGUGGGGAUGACGUCAAAUCAGCACGGCCCUUACGUCCGGGGCUACACACGUGUUACAAUGGGGGGUACAGAGGGCCGCUACCACGCGAGUGGAUGCCAAUCCCCAAAACCUCUCUCAGUUCGGACUGGAGUCUGCAACCCGACUCCACGAAGCUGGAUUCGCUAGUAAUCGCGCAUCAGCCACGGCGCGGUGAAUACGUUCCCGGGCCUUGUACACACCGCCCGUCAAGCCAUGGGAGCCGGGGGUACCUGAAGUGCGUAACCGCGAGGAGCGCCCUAGGGUAAAACUGGUGACUGGGGCU